rnacentral:rRNA from 1 species
UAGGGAAUCUUCCACAAUGGACGCAAGUCUGAUGGAGCAACGCCGCGUGAGUGAAGAAGGGUUUCGGCUCGUAAAGCUCUGUUGUUAAAGAAGAACGUGGGUAAGAGUAACUGUUUACCCAGUGACGGUAUUUAACCAGAAAGGAACGGCUAAAUACGCGCCAG